rnacentral:rRNA from 1 species
CGUGGGUGGAGUCUGCCCUGCACUUCGGGAUAAGCCUGGGAAACUGGGUCUAAUACCGGAUAGGAGCCAUUUUUAGUGUGAUGGUUGGAAAGUUUUUCGGUGUAGGAUGAGCUCGCGGCCUAUCAGCUUGUUGGUGGGGUAAUGGCCUACCAAGGCGGCGACGGGUAGCCGGCCUGAGAGGGUGGACGGCCACAUUGGGACUGAGAUACGGCCCAG